rnacentral:rRNA from 1 species
UAGGCAGGUACAGAGGGAUGCUACCGGGCGACCGGAUGCGGAUCUCGAAAGCCUGUCCCAGUUCGGACUGGAGUCUGCAACCCGACUCCACGAAGUUGGAUUCGCUAGUAAUCGCGCAUCAGCCAUGGUGCGGUGAAUACGUUCCCGGGCCUUGUACACACCGCCCGUCAAGCCAUGGGAGCCGGGGGCGCCUGAAGUCCGGGACCGCGAGGACCGGCCUAGGGCGAAACUGGUAACUGGGGCUAAGUCGUAACAAGGUAUC